GAUGAACGCUGGCGGCGUGCCUAAUACAUGCCAGUCGAGCGAACAGAUGAGGAGCUUGCUCCUCUGACGUUAGCGGCGGACGGGUGAGUAACACGUGGAUAACCUACCUAUAAGACUGGGAUAACUUCGGGAAACCGGAGCUAAUACCGGAUAAUAUAUUGAACCGCAUGGUUCAAUAGUGAAAGACCGUUUUGCUGUCACUUGUAGAUGGAUCCGCGCCGCAUUAGCUAGUUGGUAAGGUAAAGGCUUACCAAGGCAACGAUGCGUAGCCGACCUGAGAGGGUGAUCGGCCACACUGGAACUGAGACACGGUCCAGACUCCUACGGGAGGCAGCAGUAGGGAAUCUUCCGCAAUGGGCGAAAGCCUGACGGAGCAACGCCGCGUGAGUGAUGAAGGUCUUCGGAUCGUAAAACUCUGUUAUUAGGGAAGAACAAAUGUGUAAGUAACUAUGCACGUCUUGACGGUACCUAAUCAGAAAGCCACGGCUAACUACGUG
rnacentral:rRNA from 1 species